rnacentral:rRNA from 1 species
UACGGAGGGUGCAAGCGUUAUCCGGAUUCACUGGGUCUAAAGGGUGCGUAGGAGGGCAGGUAAGUCAGUGGUGAAAUCCCCGAGCUUAACUUGGGAACUGCCGUUGAUACUAUCUGUCUUGAAUAUUGUGGAGGUGAGCGGAAUAUGUCAUGUAGCGGUGAAAUGCUUAGAUAUGACAUAGAACACCAAUUGCGAAGGCAGCUCGCUACACAUAUAUUGACUCUGAGGCACGAAAGCGUGGGGAUCAAACAGG